CAGCAGCCGCGGGAACACGAAGGGUGCAAGCGUUAAUCGGAAUUACUGGGCGUAAAGCGUGCGUAGGCGGUGAGUUAAGUCUGCUGUGAAAUCCCCGGGCUCAACCUGGGAAUGGCAGUGGAUACUGGCUCGCUAGAGUGUGUCAGAGGAUGGUGGAAUUCCCGGUGUAGCGGUGAAAUGCGUAGAGAUCGGGAGGAACAUCAGUGGCGAAGGCGGCCAUCUGGGACAACACUGACGCUGAGGCACGAAAGCGUGGGGAGCAAACAGGAUUAGAUACCCCAGUAGUCCCUGUCUCUUAUAC
rnacentral:rRNA from 1 species